UUCGGGAAGGUCAGUGGCUGUGAGCUGAUGGCACCCUGUGAGCUACCAGCACCUGCAGCACCAACACCUUCCCCUCGGUGGCUUUUGCAAGAGAAGACCAGUUUGGCUGGCAAAGGCUGGGACCACCUCGGAGGGAUGACCACACUGCCUCCCUUGUCUUCACGGGCCACCAUCCCCGGGGCAGGACCCACCCCAGUGUGGUACCACCGGCUUGCCCCAGGCUGGGGAUGGCCAUUGUGGUCCAGACAAUGGUCCACCCCCCAACCAUGAAUGGAAAAUGCUCUCCUGUGUUGGGCUGACAACAGGCUCCCUGUUCUCCUGGGAGUUCCCCACAAAACCUGCUUAUAAGAGCGCAGCAAGGAAAGAUAGAGAAGGGAAGGCCCUCUGAUAAACCCACGCUACUGGAGGAUGCUCACACAAGACCUGAAACCAUCUCAUGGUGGCAAGGCCAUAAAUUCACCCUGAAUGUGUAGGACACGAUGCUGGUAUGAGGGAGGAAUGGGCAGAAAUGCUGUGAAAUGGGCUCAGGAGCUGCAAAACACCCAGAGACCUCCUCCUCUUGAAGGCACAUCCCCGGGGGCUUGGCCCCAGAUGCCUCAGGUGUUACACUUCAACACAUACUCGUUACCCCAGCGUGAACUGAUCUGGAAACACAAGAAAAGCUUUACUGGGGAGGAGAACAUCAAGAGGGCGAUGGGCAGAUGCUUGUAUGAGGGAGGAAUGGGCAGAAAUGCUGUGAAAUGGGCUCAGGAGCUGCAAAACACCCAGAGACCUCCUCCUCUUGAAGGCACAUCCCCGGGGGCUUGGCCCCAGAGAAGAAAAAAAUAUUCAAAAUAAACAGCUGUAAAAGUAAAAGGUCUUUCUGCUUCAUCUGGAAAUCUCCUCUCUCUGGUGGGUUACGGAGCGCUCGGACCCAUUGCCCUCCAAGACACACAUGGGUGAGGAUGGAGUCCCAUCUGCCAGCACCCGUCCAUCAAUUCCCACUGAGGGACCCAAAAAACCUCCCUGUCCCCUUUUCUCAGUCCAACCGACCCCCAAAAAACCCAAGAGGCCCCUUCCCACCCGUACAGCCCACCAGUCUGUGCUUCUCAUGCAAGACACGCCAACGGGUGUCUUUUUAGAAAGGGAAAGGUGGCAUCUUGCUCCAAAGUGUCACCUUUGGGGGGCUGGGGUUGCAGAGUGGUACCCCCAGGAGGGUGGGUGUUGGGGGGGUAGGAUGCAUUUAGCCUUGAUUUAUGCUGUUGGAGUAACCAAACCUUUUAAUUCAUGGUUAAUUCUUCACUUCAAGAAGCUCGGCUGAGGACACCAAGUGCUCCAAGAGGUGGCUCCAUAAUUUGGAAGAGGAGCAAUGGUUAAUUUAUGGUUAAUUCUUCACUUCAAGAAGCUCGGCUGAGGACACCAAGUUCCAAGAGGUGGCUCCAUGAUUUGGAAGAGGAGCAAUGGUUAAUUCAUGGUUAAUUCUUCACUUCAAGAAGCUCGGCUGAGGACCAAGUGCUCCAAGAGGUGGCUCCAUGAUUUGGAAGAGGAGCAAUGGUUAAUUCAUGGUUAAUUCUUCACUUCAAGAAGCUCGGCUGAGGACACCAAGUGCUCCAAGAGGUGGCUCCAUGAUUUGGAAGAGGAGCAAGCCCAGCUCUGGUGGACGUGCAGAGACAUUGGGACGUGCUUCUCCCAUGCGAGACAGGACCUGAGGGUGGGACAAACCACGAGCACCUGGAAAGGUGACCCCUUCCAGCACCAAAAUCAGGAUGGAGCUGAACCUGGAGGAGAUAGAGGUGACACAGGGCGCAAGGGCUGGGUGCUGGGAGCUGCCAAAAGGGCAUUUGGAGAUGCCAGGAGGACAGGGAGGGGUGGGCUGGGGAGGACACCAUGGCCACCUGGUGGGGUUAGCAAGAUGCCCUGGGGACACUCUGGUCCUGCUGACAUUCCCAGAGUAGCCAGCGCAUUAAAAUGUAAUUUUAAAAGGAAUAAAGGUUUAAUCCAGUGGUGUUUGAAAACA
rnacentral:lncRNA from 1 species